UGGCGAACGGGUGAGUAACACGUGAGUAACCUGCCCUGGACUCUGGGAUAACCCCGAGAAAUCGGAGCUAAUACCGGAUAGGACCUUUCCCUGCAUGGGGUUUGGUGGAAAGUUUUUCGGUUUGGGAUGGACUCGCGGCCUAUCAGCUUGUUGGUGAGGUAAUGGCUCACCAAGGCGUCGACGGGUAGCCGGCCUGAGAGGGUGACCGGCCACACUGGGACUGAGACACGGCCCAGACUCCUACGGGAGGCAGCAGUGGGGAAUAUUGCACAAUGGGCGCAAGCCUGAUGCAGCAACGCCGCGUGCGGGAUGACGGCCUUCGGGUUGUAAACCGCUUUUAGUAAGGAAGAAGGGGAGCUUGCUCCUUGACGGUACUUGCAGAAAAAGGACCGGCUAACUACGUGCCAGCAGCCGCGGUAAUACGUAGGGUCCGAGCGUUGUCCGGAAUUAUUGGGCGUAAAGAGCUCGUAGGCGGUUUGUCGCGUCUGCUGUGAAAUCCCGAGGCUCAACCUCGGGCCUGCAGUGGGUACGGGCAGACUUGAGUGGUGUAGGGGAGACUGG
rnacentral:rRNA from 1 species